rnacentral:rRNA from 1 species
UCCGUAGGGGACCUGCGGAAGGAUCAUUA